UUUUGCAUYAUGCUGUUUUGACGAUAUAAUAUACUUAUUUUUUACCGAAAAGGUUUGAUUUUUAAUUCAGUUGAUUAGGAUUUAUAGGCGGGUAGCAUUAAAAACUGAUGUUAGGUUGUGAUAAAUUAGUCGUUUGCUUUUAUAUCUGUUUACUGUGUUUAAUUUCGAUUUAUUUGUUGGGCAGAGAGGUCCGACAAUUGUAUAUAUGUUAUAUUCAUUUUUUAUCUAACAGGGUUAAAAUUACCCCUUUAUUUGAUCUUUGUUAUAAUUUAUUUUAUUUUUAUUGGAACAUUAUUUUUAAACUACAGUUAUAUUUAAUAGUUUGUUAUAUAUAUGAUACAAUAAGUAAUGAAAUAAAUAUGUGUUGUUUCUCAAGUAUAUUCCGUCUGUUUAUUAAAAACAUUUCUAUAAUAAAAUUUUUAUAGUAGGGCCUGCUCGAUGUUUAAUUAUCAAUGGCCGCAGUAUUUUGACUGUGCGAAGGUAGCAUAAUUAAUUGCCCCUUAAUUAGGGGCUUGUUUGAAUGGCUUGACGUGGUUGUUGCGAACAUUACUUUUAUUUUUGAAAUUAAUUAUGAGGGUACAGAAUCCUCUUAUAUUAAUUAGACGGAAAGACCCCGGGAUCUUUGGUUUUGCCUGGGGCAGGUUAUAUUGUUUUAAUUCUGUAUUAUGAUCUUUAUUUAGGCUUAUUGAAGUAAGUUACCCCGGGGAUAACAGUGUAAUAAUUUAGUAGAGACCUUAUCGAUUAAAUUGCUUGCCACCUCGAUGUUGACUUAGGUAUAUAACAUGGCGCAGUAGUUNNGUUAUGUGGUCUGUUCGACCUUGAUUAC
rnacentral:rRNA from 1 species